CAGUACCCCAGCCACUGCCCGCUAGCCCCCCCCACACACAUACCCAUCCUCGCCGGCCUCAGCACCGCAAACGCCGCCCGCGCGUCACUUCCCCGCCCUUCAAUGGUGUCCUCCUCCCCAUCACUCGGGGGCAGCAAGGCAACCGAUGGGGACGUGUCCAACUUCACUGCCUUCCUCCAGGCCUCGCCGAAGUCAUUCGUGGUCGUCGAGUUCUUCACCCACUGGUGCAAUGGUCACCAGCCCAGAAGGUCAUGGUCGACCCACGCGAUGCAACCCAAUUGGAUGAAGCUGGGUUUAGGGGCCUUCUUCGUUGGUUUGACUGAGUUUCUUCUUAGUUAAAUAAACACAAAGCCGACCAUGGCAGAUGUUAUCGGUUUCGAUCUAGGCACACCGAAUUCAUGCAUCUCCGUAUUGGAAUGAAAGCUCCAUCUGCUGUUCUGGAGGAUGGAACAACAGUGGUGGUCAAGAGAUUGAAGGAAGUGGUGGCAUGAAAGAGGGAAUUUGAACAGCAGAUGGAGCUAAUUGGCAAGGUUUGCCAGCAUCAGAACACUGUCCCAUUGCGUGCUUACUACUACUCCAAGGAUGAGAAGCUCUUUGUGUAUGUCCCACUAGGUAGCCUUUGUGCUGCUUUGCAUGGUAUGUCCCCUUCAUUUCAAAUAAUCUGUCUGAAUCAUUUUACAUUUUGUUACCUGUCAUAUUGUUAGAUUGAAAUUUAGUUUUCAAAAUUGAAGCUAUUUGAUACUUCAACUUGAAAGUAUAAUCCAGAUGGGGGUCGCAUACUUGAAUUCUCAAAGUGGGGAUGCUUUACAUUGAUUGUAGAGAACUCUCUAAUUCUGGGUUAUGUAAAUUAUAAUCUUUGGUCCUUACUCCUUAGUUUUUUUCUGAAUAAGGUAAAAAAAAUUUCUGAAUAAGGUAUUUAUUAUUUGUAACGUAGACAUACACUCCAGAUGUACUAUCUUCAGUCCUUAGUUUUUAUUCUUCUGAAUAUAACAUAGUUUUUUACAAAGGAUGUUGACAUAUACCUUCCUCAAAUCAUUUGGUAUUUGGGAUUCCAAUAGCUGUUCUGGAGUUCCCUAGAAACAGUUAACAAGACCUGCUCUUGUUGCUAGAAUUUUGGGCUUUUGAGAUACUGAAAUUUUCUGGCCUUUGCAGUGAAUGCAAAAGAAUAAUUGGUGGUUUCAUAGUGCUGCCUUGCUUUUCUGUUACCUACUUAAUCUUCAAGAACGACAUGGACAGUUGCUGCUGUCGGCAGGGAAGAAAAUUGAACAUUACGGUAGAAAUCUAAAAAGAAGAGUAUAGAGAAAAGCUUGGACAAGAGAUAGUGGCGGUCACUCACUUUGGUAGAAGGUUACUCUUGCAUGUAGUACGUACAGGUACAGUACUAUAGAACACUGCAGCAACUGACGUCGUCCUGGGGGCUCGUUAGUGCAGGCAAUGCUGGCGGGAACAGGAGGAAUAAUACUAGGCAGACACCGGAGACUAGAACGGUCAUCAGUUCCCAGGCACCGGAGACUAGAAUGGACAGUUGGGGGUAUAAGUAGCACUACAUGGGUUAAUGUUGUGUUGCAUAUUAUUAAUCAGGUUUAGACACAUUUGGUUGAUCUACUUAAUCACCAUGAACUGGAAACUGUGUGAUUUUACUAGGAGGGCUAUAGGACUUUUGACAUAUUUUUGACAGAACACCUGAGUUUGCUUUCAUUUCUUUUUCAUCUAAUUUGUCUGUAUGGACAUGUUCUCUUUUGCUUGGAUACCACAAAUUUAAUUGGUUACUGAGAUUUUGGGACUGGGUCAACAAAUGAAAGGUGCAUUUCAAGUUUUGCUUCUGUGAUGUUUCCACUUUUAUUUUCAGUUAUUUCACCUGUUUUGCUAACUUAUUGUCUGAAAGUCUGACUAGGCUCAUUAUACAUAUUUCUAUGAAAAUGAAACUGUAUGGUAGUUGGUUGCAGACUAAUUGUUGAUUGUAAAAUCCAGGUAACAAAGUUGCUGGAAGAACCCCAUUGGACUAGGAGACCAGGGUGAAGAUAGCUCUGGGCACUGCACGCGGAAUGGCUUACCUUCACUCCGUGGGUAGCGGCGGGAAGUUCAUUCACGGGAACAUGAAGUCAAGCAACAUCCUUCUCUCAUAGGAACUCGGCGCCUACGUCACCGAGUUCGGCCUUGCCCAGCUCAUGUCCACGCCCCACGUCCACCCACUGCAAGAGGAAUGGCUUACCUUCACUCCGUGUGUCUCAAGUAUGAACGCUUAUGCUUUUCUGGAUCAAUUGAAAUGUCUUUCAUCUUCUAUGACUAUGCAUGUGUUUUUCAAGCAAUACUUGGUACUCGAGCAUCAGAGAUCAUAAAGCUUGUUCCUUUUUGUCUCCAUUUAUCAGUCGAGGGGGAGUCACCAACGAACGACCCACAAUUGGAGUUUGAGCAGGACUAGAGAGGAGACGUCAGUUCUUCCUCCUCCGCUCAGCAGUACAUUGGAGGGGAAAUACCAGAAGCUUGGAGCUCUGCCCCGACUUUCUUGAUCGGCUUGCCAACUGGCUUGUAUUCAUCACCGAAAACCAUUUCUUGUCUUGAGUGUAUUGGUAAAUAAUUUCUGUCAACCUCAAGAUUUUCCUUCAGUGAGUACCUACCGCUAAUAUUUGUAGUUCUAUUAGUAAGUGAUCCAUUGAUAACAUUAACCUUUGCUGUUUCAUUCAUGUUGUU